GACGAACGCUGGCGGCGUGCUUAACACAUGCAAGUCGAACGGUAAGGCCCUUCGGGGUACACGAGUGGCGAACGGGUGAGUAACACGUGGGUGAUCUACCCUGCACUUCGGGAUAAGCCUGGGAAACUGGGUCUAAUACCGGAUAGGACUCCUGGCUUCAUGGUUGGGGGUGGAAAGCUUUUGCGGUGUGGAAUGGGCCCGCGGCCUAUCAGCUUGUUGGUGGGGUGAUGGCCUACCAAGGCGACGACGGGUAGCCGGCCUGAGAGGGUGACCGGCCACACUGGGACUGAGAUACGGCCCAGACUCCUACGGGAGGCAGCAGUGGGGAAUAUUGCACAAUGGGCGCAAGCCUGAUGCAGCGACGCCGCGUGAGGGAUGACGGCCUUCGGGUUGUAAACCUCUUUCAGCACCGACGAAGCGCAAGUGACGGUAGGUGCAGAAGAAGGACCGGCCAACUACGUGCCAGCCGCCGCGGUAA
rnacentral:rRNA from 1 species